rnacentral:rRNA from 1 species
UACGGAGGGGGCUAGCGUUGUUCGGAAUUACUGGGCGUAAAGCGUACGUAGGCGGCUUUGUAAGUUAGAGGUGAAAGCCCAGAGCUCAACUCUGGAAUUGCCUUUAAGACUGCAUCGCUUGAAUCGUGGAGAGGUUAGUGGAAUUCCGAGUGUAGAGGUGAAAUUCGUAGAUAUUCGGAAGAACACCAGUGGCGAAGGCGACUAACUGGACACGUAUUGACGCUGAGGUACGAAAGCGUGGGGAGCAAACAGGAUUAGAAACCCCCGUAGUCC